AUUCCAUGAUGUGGGCAUUUCCUUUCCAACUCCUUAAAUCAUUCCCAUGCAUCAUACAAAGACUCCCCAUCAAAUUGAUGUAAGAUAUUAAUCUCUCCACUAAUUCC